rnacentral:rRNA from 1 species
AGAAUUUGAUCUUGGUCAGAUUGAACGCUGGCGGCAGGCUUAACACAUGCAAGUCGAGCGGGGAUAGGGUGCUUGCACCUGAUUCCUAGCGGCGGACGGGUGAGUAAUGCUUAGGAAUCUGCCUAUUAGUGGGGGACAACGUUCCGAAAGGGACGCUAAUACCGCAUACGUCCUACGGGAGAAAGCAGGGGAUCUUCGGACCUUGCGCUAAUAGAUGAGCCUAAGUCGGAUUAGCUAGUUGGUGGGGUAAAGGCCUACCAAGGCGACGAUCUGUAGCGGGUCUGAGAGGAUGAUCCGCCACACUGGGACUGAGACACGGCCCAGACUCCUACGGGAGGCAGCAGUGGGGAAUAUUGGACAAUGGGGGCAACCCUGAUCCAGCCAUGCCGCGUGUGUGAAGAAGGCCUUUUGGUUGUAAAGCACUUUAAGCGAGGAGGAGGCUUACCUGGUUAAUACCCGGGAUAAGUGGACGUUACUCGCAGAAUAAGCACCGGCUAACUCUGUGCCAGCAGCCGC